AUUAAGGUCUUUCUUCUUUCUCUCUCUCAACAGAGCUGUUAGACUAGGUGUAGACAUUUUGUGCAAUGAGUGACAACCUUCAAGAAGAGGUAGGAGAGAGAGUUAUGAUUGGAAUGCGGGAGUAGGUGAUGUGGUUCCAAAUAUGGGACUAGACAAACAUAAUUUUCUAAGUUGUUUUCCCCUAGUCAUGGUGGUAUAUUUGCAAGGCUGCAGUUGAGACACUCCUGUAAUUUUACAUUCUUUUUUCACUUAAAAUUUCACACAGCAUUGUUCUGGACAUAAUAUUAUUAUAUAAUCAUAUAUAGAGCAAAAUUCAGGAAGUGAUUCGCAUGCUUAAUCCCAAUUGUUGAGAUGAGGCUUUGUUUAGAGAUUAAUUCAUCACCACUUUGCAACAUUUUUGAGAGGGUUUAUAUUUUAUUGUUGCUUGUAGGAGAAGUUCUUGAACUAUAUGUCAUUGCCCGUGCUUCUAGGAUAUCAAACAUCACUCGGCCAAUUGGUCUCACUAGAAAAAAAAUGCAGCUAUCUUUAUGGCAAUAAUCUACUUGAACAAUAUCCAGCCCCCCUACCUUAUUACCCAUCCCAAUGUUGUAGGACAAUGUGAUGCGAAAAAAAUUGCAUGCAGAUGAAAAUCUUGUUAGAUUAAAGCACUUGUAUAAAUGUGCAUUGAAUACCUGCAAUGGUGCAAGCAUUUCGCUCUAUCCUUCAAUUUUUUAUUGGAAUUUAGAAUCCCCGUUUUCCUUUGUAUCAAAUUCCAUAGGCUUUGCAUUAUUUUCUGUUUAUCUGGCUUGAUGAAUGUUUUUGUAUGCUUUCUUGGCUUUUGAAUUGUGAUGUGCCUCCACCUGGUCAUCAUCCUCAUAUUGGAGAAAAAAACACUUUUCCUCUUUAACAACUUGAAGAUUAAAUGGAAUGUUCAUGUAUUUUAAGGUUUAAAUUCGAACCGGAAUUACGAUUAAAAAAUUUGAACCGUGAAUGUCUCAAAGUAUUGGCCCAAUUAAACCAUUUAUGAUUUUGUUUUUAUAUAAGUGCAUCGAAACCUACUUUUCCUAUGUAAUUUAUUGUUAGUAAAUAUAUCAUACCUUAAUGUCACAAAAUGCUUCAAAUGACUCUCCUCAUGGAUUUAUAUAGGAAUUGGGAAGCUUCUAGAGAUCCUUGGAGACAUCUACACUUAACUACAAAGUGGAAGAGUAUGAAAUCUUCUAGAGAGGGCUAGAGAUGUCCACACAUCUUUACACUUGGCUAAGAGAGCAUUGGAAUAGUGUGGGGUGUUUUAGAAUCUUCCAAAGUCAUCUUGUACAUAGACUAGUGUAGGAGCUUCUAGAUUAUUCUUGAUUUGUAAGGGACCCUUUAAGGUUCUAGAGACUUCCUAAGGUGCUUAUAAAUAGGUUAAUGCCUCAUUUGGCCAAGACACCACCCAAGAACUUAACUAGCCAAAACAAGUGAGUUCCAAAACACUUGUAAAGCUUACUUUGAGCAAUAAAACUUUCAUUCUUUAAGUGUUACCUAUUAUGCCCUCUAAAGCUUCUAAGUCGGGUGCAUAUUCUAUGUUGUAACAUUGUAAUUACGUUGUACAAAGUUCCUGCUAAUGAUUCCUGACAAUUAUUUGCAAUCAAAAUUCAGUAAUGAUUUAUAAACAAAAAAAAAGUUACAAAAUUUUUUAGCAAUGUUCCAUGAAAAACACAUUGCAUAUUAAUUGAGAAAUUAAUAUGAAAUCCACUAAUUUGAAAGGCACUAAAUACCAUAUGUUGUCUUGAGUUCUCCAUGUAUCAAAACAUAUGCAAGUUGCGAUUCGAGCCACCACAAUCACAGAGCAAAAGACUUCUUAGCAUGGAGGGCAUACCAUAUUUUAAACAAGGUUCUUAAUUUUCCAAGAGACAUAAGAACGUGGUGUGUUGUAGAAACUGUAGAAUAAAUAAAUGGAAGUUAGACAUAUGCACUUGCUACUUAGUUUUUUAAUCAUGUGUGAAAUAAAUAAAGAGGUGUUACUUGCAUUUAGGCGAAACUUGUAGUCUCCAAUGUGAAAUCCAAAUCUCAUUUUGUCAACAUAAUAAGAGCAUUAAACAUAUAGCAAAUUGAAUCCUUCCUUUUGACAAUUUGAAAACCUUAAAGGAAUGACUUGAGAUCAUAAAUAACUAUACGGUAAAGAAAAUUUUCAUCAUUCUUUCUAAAAGGAAAAUUUGUCAUUUCCUUGAUUACGAAAGAUUGAUAUUUUAACAUAAAGUGCACUCAUUAAGGUAAACUUUGUGCAUUAUAUAUUGAAUUAGAAAAUUAUAUUUAAAUUCGAUUAGAAGGGUAUCACAAAAGAUGCUUAAUUGAAAUGAAGGCAUCCAUGCCAAUCUGUAACUGUUGUCAAAUAACACCCUCCCUUCUCAUUUUACGUCCCAUGCUUGCAUGUCAAAUCUCUAACUAAGACUGCUUAAAGAGCACCUAAAAGAAAAUUACCAAGAUUCAUUGAAAUCUACAUGUUUACCAAGAUUUCAAUAAGAAGAACUGUAUUAUUAUCACAUUGUAUAACUAAAUUUAAUAUUAUAUUAAUAUUAAAAAUGCUCACUUUUUAACCAAUGGAUCAUCACAAAUAAUGACCAAGAAUCUCAAAUAGAAUGACCCAAUCUCGUUGUAAAUUAAAAGAUGUUGAAUUUAAUUUGCUCACCCACAUUAUGCCCAGAUACUUGAGUAAUGGCAACAGAAGAACCUUAACAGAGGUCACAAUAACAACGGAGUGUUGCAUACUCUAGGAACUUUCAGUUUAUUUUGCUACUCUACAACAUAAUUCCGGAAUUUUAGCAGAAAACGAUGAUCAUAUAAAAAUUCAUAUCAUUUAGUUUCAAAAUUAAAUGUAAAACACUAGUUUCUACCUAUUUAGUGUGAGAACCGGAAAAUGGUAGAAUCCGUGCGAGUACCGGGAAUAGGUAGAAUCCGUGAGAGUACAGAAAAACCGUCACAACGAGCACAAGAAAAAAGUAGAUUUAUUGUGAGAACCGGAAAAUGGUAGAAUCCGUGCGAGUACCGGGAAUAGGUAGAAUCUGUGAGAGUACAGAAAAAAGGUCCAAACGAGUACAAGAAAAAAGUAGAUUCCGUGUGAGAACCGUAAAAUGGUAGAAUCCGUGAGAGUACAGAAAAAAGGUCCAAACGAGUACAAGAAAAAAGUGCAUUCCGUGUGAGAACCGUAAAAUGGUAGAAUCCGUGCGAGUACCGGGAAUAGGUAGAAUCCGUGAGAGUACAGAAAAACGGUCCAAACGAGUACAAGAAAAAAGUAGAUUCCGUGUGAGAACCGAAAAAUGGUAGAAUUCGUGCGAGUACCGGGAAUAGGUAGAAUCCGUGAGAGUACAGAAAAACGGUCCAAACGAGUACAAGAAAAAAGUAGAUUCCGUGUGAGAACCGUAAAAUGGUAGAAUCCGUGAGAGUACAGAAAAACGGUCCAAACGAGUAUAAGAAAAAAGUAGAUUCCGUGUGAGAACCGAAAAAUGGUAGAAUCCGUGAGAGUACAGAAAAAAGGUCCAAACGAGUACAAGAAAAAAGUGCAUUCCGUGUGAGAACCGUAAAAUGGUAGAAUCCGUGCGAGUACCGGGAAUAGGUAGAAUCCGUGAAAGUACCGAAAAACUGUCCGGGGGAGUACCGGAAAAAAGUAGAUUCCGUGUGAGAACCGUAAAAUGGUAGAAUCCGUGCGAGUACCGGGAAUAGGUAGAAUCUGUGAGAGUACAGAAAAAAGGUCCAAACGAGUACAAGAAAAAAGUGCAUUCCGUGUGAGAACCGUAAAAUGGUAGAAUCCGUGCGAGUACCGGGAAUAGGUAGAAUCCGUGAGAGUACAGAAAAACGGUCCAAACGAGUACAAGAAAAAAGUAGAUUCCCUGUGAGAACCGGAAAAUGGUAGAAUCCGUGCGAGUACCGGGAAUAGGUAGAAUCCGUGAGAGUACCGAAAAACAGUCCGGGAGAGUACCGGAAAAAAGUAGAUUCCGUGUGAGAACCGAAAAAUGGUAGAAUCCGUGCGAGUACCGGGAAUAGGUAGAAUCCGUGAGAGUACAGAAAAACGGUCCAAACGAGUACAAGAAAAAAGUAGAUUCCGUGUGAGAACCGGAAAAUGGUAGAAUCCGUGCGAGUAC